rnacentral:lncRNA from 10 species
CUCAAGUAAUGUCAAUUUUUAAAAGUUGGUCUUACAAUAUACUUUGUAUAUCUGUAAGAAUUUAUCCUUAGACUAAGUCACCGUUUUCCAAGAGCAAUUAGUGAGAUUUUCCCAACACAAUAAAAAUCAUGUUAUUUAACACUCUCAUCUGACUGUAUAAAAGGAAAAGUGGAACAAGGAAAUAUGUCCCAGACCACCAGCAACAAGCUCUGCUAUUCAAAUAUCCAAAAAAUGAAACCCAAAAUAAUUCAUAUAUCAUCAAAGCAAUUGCUUUCUCAAGCCAAUCUCCCCUAAAAUUUUAUAUUUGAAAACUAUACUUGGAAUAUUUUCUAAAUUGAAUAAAAGAUCUCUUUUCCUCAUGAUGGGCAUGAGAAAAUCAAGAAAUAUUUUCACCAACAAUAAUAAACAUUUUCUCUGGCUCAUGCUUUAAUUAUUUGCAUUCCAGUGGUCAUUCUUUACUGCAGAUGGAGUGUAAAAUAGUUUAUAGAUGAGUUUCUCACAUGCAUCUACUUAUUAAAUUUUCUUUCUUUCACUAGUUAUAUAUCAUAUUACUUGCAAUAUUUCCUGUAACAAUAAGUUAAUAUUAAUCAAACAGUAAAUUAAUAUUAAUAUCCUUUGACAAUAAAUUAAUAUUCAUAAAUAUUUCCUUUAAUAAUAAAUAAAUUACAAUAAACAUUGUGAUUUUUAUGAAUCAGAUGGAAAAGUCCUAAGAUCAAUAAUUUAAGCCAUAUGUGGUCAUCUGAGACUGUAAUCUCAGUUACUCAGGAGGCUGAAGUGGGAGAAUUGCUUGAGCCCAGGAGUUCCAGGUUACAGUGACCUAUGAUAGCACACGUGAGGCCUUACGUGAUGUUUCACUCGCCUGGAUGAAAGGAAGAUGACUUAUCCUGGCUCAACCAACUUGGCAUUCCUGUAUCUUUAAGGCUAUCUUAAAAUUUAUUUGACAAAGAAAUGACUGUGGGGAUCUAUUAUGUAAUUAUGUUAUUUUACUGUUUAACCGUUUUUCUGCACUCUGUUAAAUGACAUCCUCCACUAUACUUAACUCUUCACAGGUGGGUCGAAAUUUUAUUCUGACCCUCUAAACAUGAUCACAAUGACAGAUUUGUUUUAGCUGGACUUCAAAAACACUAAAAAAAAAAUCCAUGCCUUCACCUUCAAAAUAGCAACUUUGUGUUAUAACUGUAUUUCAGUAUACAAUUGGUGUGUCUGUCUUUUCCUGUGCCAGCAUCAUGUUAAAAUUAUUGAGAAGAAAAAUACUGUCCUCCAAAUUCCCCCUAUUUUUUUUUAUUUCCUUUCUUGGUUAUGUUUAUAGAUUUAUUCAUCCUUGUUAAUUGUAGAAUUUUUGCCGUGUUACAAAAUAUUCAUAAUGGGAUUUAAAGUAAAAUUGUAUUUCAUGUAUAGACAAUUUGGAGGAAAUUGGCAGACACACUUUUGGCAAAGAAGAGGAAGUACUUCCAAAUUCAAUUCAUGAAGCCAGAUGUGAAAGUGGAAACAUUACUACCAAUUUUACAGAAAUAAUAAAGGAUUAUGAGACUGCUAUGAACAAAACAGAUAAAGGUAAGUUGAUUAAUGGCUGCAAAAGUACAUUUAGAUAAAAGAAGUAAGUCUGUGUUUUGCAGCACAGUAGGGUGACUAUAGUUAAUAAAAAUUCACUGCAUAUUUCAAAAUAGCUACAAGAUAAGAUUUGAAAUGUUCCCAACACAAAGAAAUGAUAAAUGUUUGAGGUGAUGGGUGCAUACAAGUACAGAUUGUAUGCAUGUAUCAAAAUAUCACAUGUACCCCAUAAGGAUGUACAAUAUGGAUAUGUUCAUAGAUAACAUAUAUUCAUAUGUUAAUAUAUUCGCAGAAAAUACUAUGAACAAAUAUAUGCCAACAACUUAUCCUACUAAGAUGAAAUAGACAAAUUGCUAAAACACAAACUCUAUCAAGCCUGAAUUACGUAGAACAAGGGUCCUCAACCCCUGGGCCGCAGACCAGUAUUGGUCUGUGGCCUGUUAGGAACCCAGCUGCACAGCAAGAGAUGAGCUGUGGGGCAAGAGAGCAUUACUGCCUGAGCUCCACCUCCUGUCAGAUCAGCAGCAGCAUUAGAUUCUCAUAGGAGUACAAACCCUAUUGUGAACUGCACAUGCAAGGGACCUAGG